rnacentral:rRNA from 1 species
UACAGAGGUCUCAAGCGUUGUUCGGAAUUACUGGGCGUAAAGGGUGCGCAGGCCGCGCGGGCAGUCAAAUGUGUAAUUCAGGGGCUCAACCCCUGCACUGCGCUUGAUACUUCCGCGCUCGAACCUUGGAGAGGAGUCUGGAAUUCUCGGUGUAGCAGUGAAAUGCGUGGAUAUCGAGAAGAACACUUAGGGCUAAGGCAGCUUGCUGGGACGGUACUGACGCUGAGGCGCGAAAGCGUGGGGAGCAAACAGG